UUGAAACAGCUGUGUACGAGACUGUGUCAAGUGUCGAGCUGUGUCGAGCGCAUUUGUUUGGCGCUGUUUGUGCACUUUUCAAAUUGGCUGUGAUAUGAAUUCAAGGUGUUUUCUGGGAAACGUACGCCAACUUGUCCGAAGCUGGCGAACACCGGCCAAAGGACCGUACACUUCACCGAAGACCAGUUCGCCGGAGCAACAGAAAAGCUACGUGGAAGCGCUCGCCCAUCUGUGCGAGUGACGGACCGUCGGUCGGCUCCGUUCUUUGAUAUGCUUAGUGACGAACACGUGACAUCCAUGUCGGCCCCAUCUACCUCAGGAACUGUUAAGAAAGUCUUGCCUAUAGAUACUCAAUUCGCCAUUGUGGGAAACCCACUUUGGAUGAAGUCACCAACAGUUCGGUCGCGCACAAUCUUCUAAGCCUCAAAAGCUGCUGCAUUAUCCUGUGUCGUCGGUUGUGAGCACUCAACAUGUAGAACAGAGUAGGGAUAUGCUGAGUGAUGUGGAUUCAGGCACGACAGAGUAUUUCAAAGAUGAACACAGACUCAUACAGGACAAUGCUCAAUACUACAUAGCUGGCCGUCUUGUUCACUUUUUCCUGAAGGAAUCAUCAUGUACAGCUGUUCAGAAGCACCGGUUUCCGAAGCCCACAGCCUUGUUUCGCACAACCAGUUUCUUGCCCUGUUUGUUGCUGAUAAUGUACCUGGGAACUAUUUACAGGCGUCACGUUACCUUCAGCAAACUGUCUCAAGUGUGUUUCGAGACCAGAGGUACUCUUUCUGCAACCUGUGAAGGAAGUGCUACACGAAAAGGGUGUUCUCAACUUGCUUUCUGCAAGUUUGUGUGAUCACAGCUUCGGCACUCCAGUUUGCAGUGACACGUGUAAAGACCAGUUUGUGUUAAAGUUGUGUCGUCUUCGUUUACUGUAGCGUCUACAGCUUCAAAACUGAGAACUUGUAAAAGUGUCCACUUGCAAGCGAACAGUUGCUGCAAAAAAGGCUCAGAAACUUUAGAUAUGCCACAUGUCGUAGUGACACCAAAUAUGCGCUCCUUGAAUACUUGUCGUGCUGCUUAGCCCGUUUGUUGUGUUUCUGUGUUUUCUACCACCGUCAACAUUAUGGAGUGCUGCUCCCAUCUUAUUAUAGGGAGGAUGGUAACCAAAUGUAAAGGAAUAAUGCGAAAGUUCAAACUUAUACGAGAUCCUAAAACCUUGAUAUGAGACAUCACGAUACCACAAAAUAAAUUGGGAAGUGUUACGCAUCA